rnacentral:rRNA from 1 species
CAGUCGCCGCGGUAAUACGGGGGAUCCAAGCGUUAUCCGGAAUUACUGGGCGUAAAGAGUUGCGUAGGUGGCAUUGUAAGUCGGUAGUGAAAGCGUGUGGCUCAACCAUAUACACAUUACCGAAACUGCAAAGCUAGAGGAUGAGAGAGGUUAUUGGAAUUGCUAGUGUAGGAGUGAAAUCCGUAGAUAUUAGCAGGAACACCGAUGGCGUAGGCAGAUAACUGGCUCAUUCCUGACACUAAGGCACGAAAGCGUGGGGAGCAAACGGGAUUAGAUACCCGCGUAGUCCCUGUCUCUUAUA